rnacentral:rRNA from 1 species
GACGAACGCUGGCGGCGUGCUUAACACAUGCAAGUCGAACGGUGAAGCGCCUUCCUUUUUGGUGGGUGUGGAUGAGUGGCGAACGGGUGAGUAACACGUGAGUAACCUGCCCCCUUCUUCUGGAUAACCGCAUGAAAGUGUGGCUAAUACGGGAUAUUCUGGGUCUGUCGCAUGAUGGGUCUGGGAAAGAUAUUGUUUCGGUGGGGGAUGGGCUCGCGGCCUAUCAGCUUGUUGGUGGGGUGAUGGCCUACCAAGGCGGUGACGGGUAGCCGGCCUGAGAGGGUGGACGGUCACACUGGGACUGAGACACGGCCCAGACUGCGACGGGAGGCAGCAGUGGGGAAUAUUGCACAAUGGGCGCAAGCCUGAUGCAGCGACGCCGCGUGAGGGAUGGAGGCCUUCGGGUUGUGAACCUCUUUCGCCAGUGAAGCAGGCCUGCCUCGUUUGUGGGUGGGUUGACGGUAGCUGGAUAAGAAGCGCCGGCUAACUACGUG